rnacentral:misc_RNA from 1 species
UUGCUGUAUUGACCGCAUCUUUUGGUGUAACUGGUUAUUCCUUACCUUGGGACCAAAUUGGUUAUUGGGCGGUCAAAAUUGUAACAGGCGUGCCGGAAGCUAUUCCUGUAAUAGGAUCGCCUUUGGUGGAGUUAUUACGCGGAAGUGCUAGUGUAGGACAAUCCACUUUGACUCGUUUUUAUAGUUUACACACUUUUGUAUUACCUCUUCUUACUGCCGUAUUUAUGUUAAUGCACUUUUUAAUGAUACGUAAGCAGGGUAUUUCAGG